UCAAAUAAUGCUUUAAAUAAAAAACAGAAUAAAAAAAUUAUAAAAAAAGAAAAACUAGAAAAAUUAGAAAAUUUCAUAAAGGUCCUUCUUGCUCCAAGUUUUAGCUAUAACUCGGUCGGUAUCCAACGGAUCGCCAAUCUUUAACCUGUGAUCGAUAGAUGGCACCAAUGGCUACAUUUUCUUUUCGGACGGCCAUGCCCUCAGAUGUCUGUGCCAGAAGUUAUUCGAGGAACCAAGUUCCUUACCCUGUUUGAGAAAAUGUAAAAUUUUCCUCAUUUUUCUACAAUUCAGCAAAAUUUUUAAAUGUGAUAUAUUUUAAUGCGAAUUUGUUGCAAUAAGUUUCUUUUCACUCAAGUAAUGCUUUAAAUUAAAAAAUGAAUAAAAAAUCAGAAAAAAAUUUCAAAAAAAUUUUUCACUCGAAAAUUUCAUAAGGCUUACUCCUUACGUUUUUUUGAGAAAUUUUACAAAAAAAUGAAAUUGAUUUAUUUUAAUGCCAAUUGGCUGAAAAACGUUUGUUUUCACUCAAAUAAUGCUUUAAAUAAAAAACAGAAUAAAAAAUUAUAAAAAAAUAGAAAAAUAAGAAAAAUUAGAAAAUUUUAUAAAGGUCCUUCUUGCGCCAAGUUUUAGCUAUAACUCGGUCGGUAUCCAACGGAUCGCCAAUCUUUAACCUGUGGUCGAUAGAUGGCACCAAUGGCUACAUUUUCUUCUCGGACGGCCAUGCCCUCAGAUGUCUGUGCCUGAAGUUAUUCGAGGAACCAAGUUCCUUACCCUGUUUGAGAAAAUGUAAAAUUUUCCUCAUUUUUCUACAAUUCAGCAAAAUUUUUAAAUGUGAUAUAUUUUAAUGCGAAUUUGUUGCAAUAAGUUUCUUUUCACUCAAAUAAUGCUUUAAAUUAAAAAAAGAUUAA